UACGAAGGGUGCAAACGUUGCUCGGAAUUAUUGGGUGUAAAGCGCACGUAGGCGGCCUAUCAAGUCGGAUGUGAAAUCCCUCGGCUCAACCAAGGAAGUGCAUCCGAAACUGGUAGGCUUGAGUACUUAAGAGGAUCGCGGAAUUCCCGGUGUAGAGGUGAAAUUCGUAGAUAUCGGGAGGAACACCGGUGGCGAAGGCGGGUCUCUGGGCCGAUACUGACGCUGAGGAGCGAAAGCGUGGGGAGCGAACAGG
rnacentral:rRNA from 1 species